UGGGGAAUAUUGCACAAUGGAGGAAACUCUGAUGCAGCGAUGCCGCGUGAGGGAAGAAGGUUUUAGGAUUGUAAACCUCUGUCUUCAGGGACGAAAAAAGGACGGUACCUGAGGAGGAAGCUCCGGCUAACUACGUGCCAGCAGCCGCGGUAAUACGUAGGGAGCGAGCGUUGUCCGGAAUUACUGGGUGUAAAGGGAGCGUAGGCGGGAUCGCAAGUCAGAUGUGAAAACUAUGGGCUUAACCCAUAAACUGCAUUUGAAACUGUGGUUCUUGAGUGAAGUAGAGGUAAGCGGAAUUCCUAGUGUAGCGGUGAAAUGCGUAGAUAUUAGGAGGAACAUCAGUGGCGAAGGCGGCUUACUGGGCUUUAACUGACGCUGAGGCUCGAAAGCGUGGGGAGCAAACAGGAUUAGAUACCCUGGUAGUCCACGCCGUAAACGAUGAUUACUAGGUGUGGGGGGACUGACCCCUUCCGUGCCGCAGCAAACGCAAUAAGUAAUCCACCUGGGGAGUACGACCGCAAGGUUGAAACUCAAAGGAAUUGACGGGGGCCCGCACAAGCAGUGGAGUAUGUGGAUUAAUUCGAAGCAACGCGAAGAACCUUACCAGGUCUUGACAUCGUAUGCAUAGCUCAGAGAUGAGUGAAAUCUCUUCGGAGACAUAUAGACAGGUGGUGCAUGGUUGUCGUCAGCUCGUGUCGUGAGAUGUUGGGUUAAGUCCCGCAACGAGCGCAACCCUUACUGUUAGUUGCUACGCAAGAGCACUCUAGCAGGACUGCCGUUGACAAAACGGAGGAAGGUGGGGAUGACGUCAAAUCAUCAUGCCCCUUAUGACCUGGGCCUCACACGUACUACAAUGGCGUAAACAAAGGGAAGCAAAGCUGUGAAGCCGAGCAAAUCUCAAAAAUAACGUCUCAGUUCGGACUGUAGUCUGCAACCCGACUACACGAAGCUGGAAUCGCUAGUAAUCGCAGAUCAGAAUGCUGCGGUGAAUACGUUCCC
rnacentral:rRNA from 2 species